GAAAAGUAAAGUGACAGCUGGGUCCCGCGCGCAGACUGGGCUCUGACGGGGUGGCUUCCCAUCAUAGAGCAACAGCCAAAGUGCAAAAUAUGGAUACAUGGCCUGCAUGAUGUGCCCACCAUUCCCAGCCAGGAUUCCCCUGACCUCAAGCUGUACGAUUUCACUCCAUCCUCGUCUCCUUCCAGCCACACCGGCCUUGCAGUUAUGGACACACCAAGCAUUCCUCAGCCUCAAGACCUGUGUACUUACUAUUUCCUAUCUCUAGAACAUUCUUUCCUCCCACUCCUCCCCCAGAACUUCCUAUCCACAUCCUCUGCUUUUUCUCCAUGAUCACCACCUGACAUAAUACAUUUUUUUACUUAUUUAUUAGUUUCCCCCUUCUGCUUUCUUUUUCCUCCCUCUCCCAG
rnacentral:lncRNA from 1 species